rnacentral:sRNA from 1 species
UUGAAGGGGUUUAUCAAUUUCGCCAGUUCAUAAAGAUGUUAUCUUGGAAAACCGUUUAGAGGUUUAGAGGCGCGCCCGUGAAAUUGUCGGUACUGCAGAUUUGCCAGCGCUCACAAACGGAAACGGAAGUGACGCCCGAAAGGAAAAGGGGCAGAGGAAUAGGAAGAGGAGAAGAAGCGCAGGACGACAGGACAAACGGCUGAAUAAUGCAAAUUAAAACACAAUAAAAUGUAAAACACAAAUGACAACGGAGAACACGAGCUGCAAAAGGCUAAAGGAGCUCUACAAAAAAAAAUAGCAAAAGGCGAAUCGGUUGACAUGCCAAAAAAAAUGCGAGUGGCGGCAACUUUUCCACUGAAUUGAUUUGAUUUUCAGUCAGGAGUACAGCCGGAAUACGGAGCGUAUGCGCGAUACGUAUACGCGAUAUAUAGGGCGCCGGGGGAGCGGCGGAAAUUUGCAUAACUUUGCUGGCGUGGCAUAAACAUCAAAAAACAAAUUGCAAGUAACAAAGGAAAGCAAUGGUCAUAAAAACGGCGCCAGCCUCGUAAAAAAGCGUACAAAAAAAUUCUCGCAAUACCCCCGUUCUUUAAGUGAAAAUUAAUUUAUGCAGCAAAUCAAAAACGAAUAGGGAAGAAAUAUAAAAGUAAUCGCAGGCCGUAACAAUUAAGACAGCCGGGUUUAGAAAAGAAAAGUCGGGAAAACGCUGGAAAAAGCUAAAAGAAGCUGGAAAAAGCCUGAGGGGAAAACGCUGGAAAAUCAAGUGCAGCAGCAGCCGAAAAAAAGGAAACACAGAGUCGAAGAAACCGGUUAGCAAGGGUUGCUUAUAAAUGUACCAGGACAGCGGCUGCAGCAGCAGUAGCAGUCGACGCGGCAGCAGCAGUGCAGCAGCAGCAACAUCUAC